rnacentral:rRNA from 1 species
UACAGAGGUCUCAAGCGUUGUUCGGAUUCAUUGGGCGUAAAGAGCUCGUAGGCGGUUUGUCGCGUCUGCUGUGAAAACUCGGGGCUUAACUCCGGGCCUGCAGUGGGUACGGGCAGACUAGAGUGCUGUAGGGGAGACUGGAAUUCCUGGUGUAGCGGUGAAAUGCGCAGAUAUCAGGAAGAACACCCGUGGCUAAGGCGGUUCUCUAGUACGGUACUGACGCUGAGACGCGAAAGCGUGGGGAGCGAACAGG